AUCUUUGCACUUAAGGCAAUGACACAGCUAGUGAGGUUCUAUCCGAGACGCGUGUAUUGCUAGUUGAAAACUAUUUCCAAAAACAACAUAAUUAACUCGUUGCGAAAACUAAGAUUGUCAAUUAUUUACAUGGUUUACAUGAGUUAAUC
rnacentral:snRNA from 1 species